UACGGAGGGGGCUAGCGUUGUUCGGAAUUACUGGGCGUAAAGCGCACGUAGGCGGCUUUGUAAGUUAGAGGUGAAAGCCCAGGGCUUAACCCUGGAAUUGCCUUUAAGACUGCAUCGCUAGAAUCGUGGAGAGGUGAGUGGAAUUCCGAGUGUAGAGGUGAAAUUCGUAGAUAUUCGGAAGAACACCAGUGGCGAAGGACGAACUCACUGGACACGUAUUGACGCUGAGGUGCGAAAGCGUGGGGGAGCAAACAGG
rnacentral:rRNA from 1 species